rnacentral:lncRNA from 1 species
CCCGGAUGGCCAGAGCAUCAUUGAGCAGGUGGGCAGCCUCCUUGUACUUGUUCUGAUCCCUGGGAGCAGGUAGGAGCAUGGUCAGGGCUGUCCUCCAGCUCAAGGCCCUCCCCAAUGGUCUGCAAUCCCUGUGGUCACUCCUGUACUCACUGAGUGUGUAUGACAGAGUGAGACCCAGAGUGUGGGGAGACCUGCUCAGCUCCUGCUCUCCAAGCUCCAAGGGCUGUAGGCAGUUUUCUCACAAUUGGCUGGGGUGCGCAGUGCUGGGGUCCCACCGACUGCCUGGUGCCUAGCAUUCCUGGGCGCCACAUGGCUCUCCUGCUGCCCCUUUAGCGUGUCCUGCUCUCCAGGUCCCAGUGCCUUUGCUCAUGCUGGCUUUUUGCCAUGGGAACCUUUUCUAGCCCUCUUGUGUUUGGGCAAACUCACUUUCUGGCAAAGCCCCUCCUCCAGCCUUGGUGCCUGGAGAAGCUGUGUGGACUCCCCAGGACCCCUGGAGUCCUCAUGUGCAGUCCCUCCCCAGUUCUGGCCAAGCCUCUCUCUUACACUAGACAGUUUUACUUGCAUCUGUAGCCCAGCUCCACGCAGGUGGGCCACGAGUCCUGGCCCACAGCAGGCACCAAGGGUUAGUGAUCCAGGGCUGGAGCCUUCCAGAAGAAUUUGGGCACCCCCAGAGAGUCCUCACCGAUAGACCAGUGCCAGGAUGUUCAGCAUGGUGGCAACGUCAGGGUGGUCGUGGCCUGACGUCUUCUCCAGGUCUUCGAGUGCCUGCUUGCAGAGUGGCACAGCUACCUCGUAGCGGCCCUGUGAGGCGUAUUGGAUCACCAGGUUGUGCAGGGUGCGGAGCCGGGCCGGGAUCUCGUAGCCCCCAUGCUGACCAGACACAUCCCCUCCUCCUGGGCUAGGGGCUGCAGGGCCAAGGGCAGGAGGUCAGAUGUACCAUCUGCCCACUGGACUGGGAUGGCACAUGCCAGCUGUGCCUUUGAGCCACUUGACACAUGGCCCUGGGCAAGUCACUAACCACUCUUUCUCAGUUUCCCCAUUUAUAGAAUGGGUCUAGUUACCCCAUAGAAAGAGGGGGUAGAGGCCCAGCUCCAGUACUUCAGGCUCUGUGUCCUGGGGCAAGCUGCCUAACCUCUGAGCCUGUGUCCCUGUGUACAGAGUGGAGGCCCCGAUGCAUAACCAGUACCAUCAGCAAAGCAGGCACUGGCCCCAUUGUGGCUGUCUGCAUGUGCCUCCUUCAGAGGUGAUUCGGAGAGGAAGAGAACUCUCCCAAGGGUCAGGGAAGCUAGUGGCAGAGCAGCACUGGAAGCCAGGCUGGUGACUCCACAGCUAAUUGUGAUGUCUGCUCACCACAGAGCUGGGGGGAUGUGAGAAGCAGCAGCACGUACAACUGUUCUUGAAGCUCUAACACACUAGGAUGUCAUGAUCAGAAGUGAGGCAGGAAGGAACAUGGCAGCCACUCGGUCCCAAGGACCAAGAGUUCACACAACCUUUCCUUCCCCCACUCCAGAACUGCCCAUCCGCACCUGGGCUCUGCUCAUCCUCAUUGGGGAACAGGUCAUCCAGUGUGUCUUUGGGGACGUCCCCCUUCUCCUCCUGGGAAGGAAGACAGGAUGAGCAUCAGGGAAGGAGGCACAGGGCAGCCGGGGUGUCCAUGGGCUGGGGUGGAGCCGAAUCUGCUCCAUGCUGCCCCUCCCUGCUCCCAGGCCUCCUUGCUGGGCAACAGUGACCAUGGUAGGAGCUCACGUUAGGGGAGGCGUCUUCAUCCAACUUGCGGAUCUGGCUCAUGAACAGCAAGUGCUGCUUCUCCUCCUCGAGCUGGGCCACGGCCUGCUCACUGCGCUGCAGCUUCUGCUGUGUCCCCGCCAGCUCCUCACGCAGCCACUGGUUCUCCUGCACCAGACGCCGCACCUGCGCCCGCAGCUUCUGCUUCUCUGAUUCUACAGCCCCCAGGUGGCUCGACAAUGCCAAGAUCACCUGUGCAACCAGCCCAGCCUCUGCUGCCACAGCCAGUAGGUUACUGCUCCCUGCCUCAGGGCUAGCGCUUGCCCACAGAACUCUGCUAGAUGGCUGAAGGACCACCCAAAGACUCCAUCCCCACUUCUGCUGAGGGGCCACAGCAUCCCCUGCCUUUCUGCAGCUCCCAGGUCUUGCUGGACCUACCUCCAGAACAUCCAGAACUGGUCCCUUUUCUCCACCGUCAUAGCCACCCCUUAAUUCCAAGCACCAGCUCUCAUUUGAAUUCCAGCAGUGGCUUCCUAACCACUCAUUGGAGAGUGAUUCCAUCCUCGACCCACUGAGGUUUAUUCUCCACAUCUCAGCCAGAGAGAGUUUUUAGAAACUCAAGUCAGACUGUGUUGCCUGCCUGCUUAAAGCCCUCCAGAGGCUUUCUGAUUUCCUGAGAAUAAAACCCAAACCAACCA